rnacentral:rRNA from 1 species
AUACGGAGGGUGCGAGCGUUAUCCGGAUUUAUUAGGUUUAAAGGGUGUGUAGGCGGGAGCCUAAGUCAGUGGUGAAAUCUCACAGCUUAACUGUGAAACUGCCAUUGAAACUGGGUUUCUUGAGUAUAGUUGAGGUAGGCGGAAUGUGUAAUGUAGCGGUGAAAUGCAUAGAUAUUACACAGAACACCGAUUGCGAAGGCAGCUUACUAAGCUAUUACUGACGUUGAUGCACGAAAGCGUGGGUAGCGAACAGGAUUAGAAACCCGAGUAGUCC